CAAGUUGAUGAAAUAAAAUUUAUAAGUAAAUAUUUUGAUUAUCAAAUCGUCAAGCAUUUGAAGAAAAUUUGCACAAAGUUGGUUGUUGCUAGGCAUAUGCGAAGACUAAUUAAAAAUGAAGAAGGUGAACUUUAAUGCGUUACUUUUUGAAUGUGUAAAAGUAGAAGGCUUCACCGAAUCGGAUGUGUCCACCAAGCUCAAAAAAAACAACAGACUCGCCAAUGGCCCUUUUUUAAGUCUCAUUGCUUGGAAAACUAAGGGACUCAGCCACAAAAUUUAAA